GGGAAUGUGGCUUAGUGGUAGAGCGCUUGCCUAGCAUGCAUGAAGCCCUGGGUUCGAUUCCUCAGUACCA
rfam:Dipodomys ordii contig_13847, whole genome shotgun sequence.